rnacentral:rRNA from 1 species
UACGGGGGGGGCAAGCGUUGUUCGGAAUUACUGGGCGUAAAGGGCUCGUAGGCGGCCAACUAAGUCAGACGUGAAAUCCCUCGGCUUAACCGGGGAACUGCGUCUGAUACUGGAGGGCUUGAGUUUGGGAGAGGGAUGCGGAAUUCCAGGUGUAGCGGUGAAAUGCGUAGAUAUCUGGAGGAACACCGGUGGCGAAGGCGGCAUCCUGGACCAACACUGACGCUGAGGAGCGAAAGCCAGGGGAGCAAACGGG